AAUAGAUACCCGUGGUAGUCCACGCUGUAAACGUUGGGCGCUAGGUGUGGGGGGCCUCUCCGGUUCUCUGUGCCGCAGCUAACGCAUUAAGCGCCCCGCCUGGGGGAGUACGGCCGCAAGGCUAAAAACUCAAAGGAAUUGACGGGGGGCCCGCACAAGCGGCGGAGCAUGCGGAUUAAUUCGAUGCAACGCGAAGAACCUUACCUGGGUUUGACAUGGCCGCAAAACCGGCAGAGAUGUCGGGUCCUUCGGGGGCGGUCACAGGUGGUGCAUGGCUGUCGUCAGCUCGUGUCGUGAGAUGUUGGGUUAAGUCCCGCAACGAGCGCAACCCUCGUUCGAUGUUGCCAGCGCGUUAUGGCGGGGACUCAUCGAAGACUGCCGGGGUCAACUCGGAGGAAGGUGGGGAUGACGUCAAGUCAUCAUGCCCCUUAUGUCCAGGGCUUCACGCAUGCUACAAUGGCCGGUACAAUGGGCUGCGAUACCGUGAGGUGGAGCGAAUCCCAAAAAGCCGGUCUCAGUUCGGAUCGGGGUCUGCAACCG
rnacentral:rRNA from 1 species